rnacentral:rRNA from 1 species
GACGAACGCUGGCGGCGUGCUUAACACAUGCAAGUCGAACGGAAAGGCCCUGCUUUUGUGGGGUGCUCGAGUGGCGAACGGGUGAGUAACACGUGAGUAACCUGCCCUUGACUUUGGGAUAACUUCAGGAAACUGGUGCUAAUACCGGAUAGGAGCUCCUGCUGCAUGGUGGGGGUUGGAAAGUUUCGGCGGUUGGGGAUGGACUCGCGGCUUAUCAGCUUGUUGGUGGGGUAGUGGCUUACCAAGGCUUUGACGGGUAGCCGGCCUGAGAGGGUGAACGGCCACAUUGGGACUGAGAUACGGCCCAGACUCCUACGGGAGGCAGCAGUGGGGAAUAUUGCACAAUGGGCCGAAGCCUGAUGCAGCAACGCCGCGUGCGGGAUGACGGCCUUCGGGUUGUAAACCGCUUUCGCCUGUGACGAAGCGUGAGUGACGGUACUGGGUAAAGAAGCACCGGCUAACUACGUG